AGGAAGACGCGGCCCGGCUUGCGGGGGGUAGAGGGACACACUUGCGCUGCGGGACCAGUCUCCUGAGGCUGCACGGGUCAAUGACAUGAGGAAGACCGAAGGAGGCUGCUGGGUGUGGACACAAAGAGAUGGAGCAGACGCUUAUGGGCUCCUUCAUCCUUCCAGAACAGACUCUCCAAGCAAAGUCUAAACCAGUCACAUUGAAGCUCCUAGGGUUAC
rnacentral:lncRNA from 1 species